ACGGAAGGCAGCAGUGGGGAAUAUUGCACAAUGGGGGAAACCCUGAUGCAGCGACGCCGCGUGAGUGAAGAAGUAUUUCGGUAUGUAAAGCUCUAUCAGCAAGGAAGAAAAUGACGGUACUUGACUAAGAAGCUCCGGCUAAAUACGUGCCAGCAGCCGCGGUAAUACGUAUGGAGCAAGCGUUAUCCGGAUUUACUGGGUGUAAAGGGAGCGUAGACGGCGAAGCAAGUCUGAAGUGAAAUGCCGGGGCUUAACCCCGGAACUGCUUUGGAAACUGUUUUGCUAGAGUGCAGGAGAGGUAAGCGGAAUUCCUAGUGUAGCGGUGAAAUGCGUAGAUAUUAGGAGGAACACCAGUGGCGAAGGCGGCUUACUGGACUGUAACUGACGUUGAGGCUCGAAAGCGUGGGGAGCAAACAGGAUUAGAUACCCUGGUA
rnacentral:rRNA from 1 species